rnacentral:rRNA from 1 species
UGGGGAAUUUUGGACAAUGGGCGAAAGCCUGAUCCAGCCAUUCCGCGUGCAGGAUGAAGGCCCUCGGGUUGUAAACUGCUUUUGUACAGAACGAAAAGGUUUCUACUAAUACUAGGAGCUCAUGACGGUACUGUAAGAAUAAGCACCGGCUAACUACGUG